rnacentral:lncRNA from 1 species
AUAGCGAAUCUUUCUAAAGCUCUGAUCAGUCAAGAAGGGGGUUGUAUCAAUCCUCAGAACCCUGAGUGGAACUUUCUAAAGGAUUUAUUAGGAGAAAAACCUUCCCGGAAGCUGCAGAAGGACAAAUACAGAAUCUGUGUGUGGGAGAAACCUCGUGGCCUGGUCUCCAUUAUUUGAGAUGAGUUACAUCUUGGAGGACCAUAGCUGUCUGCAGUGCAGGAAGCCAACUGUUAAGGGGAAACAAAAGUGUUCUUAGGAGUCCUGCUGUCAUUGUGGAUUGAGAUGGUGAAGCCCAGAGGGAUUUCAUCGUAGAGGUGGAUGGAGAAGCAGCUGGGGUCCUUGGCUGUAAGGACCCCUAAGGGCCUGAUCUUUUGGCCAGAAGGAGAUUAAAAGGAUGCCCCUCAAGAUGGCUGUGCCUGUCAGCUGCAUGGAGCUUCGUUCAAGUAUUUUCUGAGCCUGAUGGAUUUACAGUGAUCUUCAGUGGUUUGGGGAAUAACGCUGGUGGAACCAUGCACUGGAAUGACACACGUCCGGCACAUUUCAGGAUACUAAAAGUGGUUUUAAAGGA